rnacentral:rRNA from 1 species
UUCUUUGCUGAGAGUGGCGGACGGGUGAGUAAUGCUUGGGAAUCUGGCUUAUGGAGGGGGAUAACUACGGGAAACUGUAGCUAAUACCGCGUAAUAUCUUCGGAUUAAAGGGUGGGACUUUCGGGCCACCUGCCAUAAGAUGAGCCCAAGUGGGAUUAGGUAGUUGGUGGGGUAAAGGCCUACCAAGCCGACGAUCUCUAGCUGGUCUGAGAGGAUGACCAGCCACACUGGAACUGAGACACGGUCCAGACUCCUACGGGAGGCAGCAGUGGGGAAUAUUGCACAAUGGGGGGAACCCUGAUGCAGCCAUGCCGCGUGAAUGAAGAAGGCCUUCGGGUUGUAAAGUUCUUUCGGUGAUGAGGAAGGGUAGUGUUUUAAUAGAGCACUACAUUGACGUUAGUCGCAGAAGAAGCACCGGCUAACUCCGUGCCAGCAGCCGCGGUAAUACGGAGGGUGCGAGCGUUAAUCGGAAUGACUGGGCGUAAAGGGCACGCAGGCGGUGACUUAAGUGAGAUGUGAAAGCCCCGAGCUUAACUUGGGAAUUGCAUUUCAUACUGGGUUGCUAGAGUAUUUUAGGGAGGGGUAGAAUUCCACGUGUAGCGGUGAAAUGCGUANAGAUGUGGAGGAAUACCGAAGGCGAAGGCAGCCCCUUGGGAAAAUACUGACGCUCAUGUGCGAAAGCGUGGGGAGCAAA